rnacentral:rRNA from 1 species
CCGUGGAAGGGUUCAUCGAAGCUGGAGACUUGAGUGCAGAGGAGAUAGUGAGUCAAGUGUAGCGGUGAAAUGCGUAGAGAUUUGGGAGGGAACACCAGUGGCGAAAGGCGACUAUCUGGUCUGUAACUGACACUGAGGCGCGAAAGCGUGGGGAGCAAACAGGAUUAGAUACGUGGUAGUCCACGCCGUAAACGAUGAGUGCUAAGUGUUAGGGGGUUUCCGCCCCUUAGUGCUGCAGCUAACGCAUUAAGCACUCCGCCUGGGGAGUACGGUCGCAAGACUGAAACUCAAAGGAAUU